rnacentral:rRNA from 1 species
GAGUAUGGGAUGAAGUAGGCGGGAAUGCGUGGUGUAGCGGUGAAAUGCAUAGAGAUCACGCAGAACUCCGAUUGCGAAGGCAGCUUACUAAGGCAUAACUGACACUGAAGCACGAAAGCGUGGGUAUCAAACAGGAUUAGAUACCCUGGUAGUCCACGCAGUAAACGAUGAUUACUAGGAGUUUGCGAUAUAGUGUAAGCUCUACAGCGAAAGCGUUAAGUAAUCCACCUGGGGAGUACGCCGGCAACGGUGAAACUCAAAGGAAUUGACGGGGGCCCGCACAAGCGGAGGAACAUGUGGUUUAAUUCGAUGAUACGCGAGGAACCUUACCCGGGAUUGAAAUGUACCUGACGAACUGCGAGAGUGGUUUUCCAGCAAUGGCAGGUAUGUAGGUGCUGCAUGGUUGUCGUCAGCUCGUGCCGUGAGGUGUCGGCUUAAGUGCCAUAACGAGCGCAACCCUGACUGUCAGUUGCUAACAGGUCAAGCUGAGGACUCUGGCGGGACUGCCGGCGUAAGCUGUGAGGAAGGUUGGGAUGACGUCAAAUCAGCACGGCCCUUACAUCCGGGGCGACACACGUGUUACAAUGGCAGGGACAAAGGGCAGCUACCGAGCGAUCGGAUGUAAAUCUCUAAACCCUGUCUCAGUUCGGAUCGGAGUCUGCAACUCGACUCCGUGAAGCUGGAUUCGCUAGUAAUCGCGCAUCAGCCAUGGCGCGGUGAAUACGUUCCCGGGCCUUGUACACACCGCCCGUCAAGCCAUGGGAGUCUGGAGUACCUAAAGUCCGUACCCGCGAGGACGGCCUAGAGUAAUAACAGGGGGGGCC